UACGUAGGGGGCAAGCGUUGUCCGGAUUUAUUGGGCGUAAAGCGCGCGCAGGCGGUUUUUUAAGUCUGGGGUUUAAGUUCGGGGCUCAACCCCGUAUCGCCCUGGAAACUGGGAGACUGGAGUGCAGGAGAGGAAAGUGGAAUUCCACGUGUAGCGGUGAAAUGCGUAGAUAUGUGGAGGAACACCAGUGGCGAAGGCGACUUUCUGGCCUGUAACUGACGCUGAGGCGCGAAAGCGUGGGGAGCAAACAGG
rnacentral:rRNA from 1 species